UUCCAGUGUUGGGUUCAGUUCAGGAGAGCUUCCCUGUUGUGUUAAUUAAAACUUGGAGCAUGGAAACACAGGCUGGGGGAGAUGCUUGGGUAGACAGCAGCACUCUGUUCGCUUACCUUCCAGACUGCAAAC